UACGUAGGGUGCGAGCGUUAAUCGGAAUUACUGGGCGUAAAGCGUGCGCAGGCGAUGAUGUAAGACAGUUGUGAAAUCCCCGGGCUCAACCUGGGAACUGCAUCUGUGACUGCAUCGCUGGAGUGCGGCAGAGGGGGAUGGAAUUCCGCGUGUAGCAGUGAAAUGCGUAGAUAUGCGGAGGAACACCGAUGGCGAAGGCAAUCCCCUGGGCCUGCACUGACGCUCAUGCACGAAAGCGUGGGGAGCAAACAGG
rnacentral:rRNA from 1 species